rnacentral:rRNA from 1 species
ACGAACGCUGGCGGUGUGCUUAACACAUGCAAGUGGUGCGACGAACCAGAGCUUGCUCUGGGGCAAAGCCGCGAACGGGUGAGUAACACGUGGGUAAUCUACCCCGAUGACCGGGACAACCCGAGGAAACUCGGGCUAAUACCGGAUGUGGUACGGAGACAUAAGUCUCUUUACUAAAGGUAGCUUCGGCUUCCGCAUUGGGAGGGGCCCGCGGCCCAUUAGCUAGUUGGUGGGGUCAAGGCCUACCAAGGCAACGAUGGGUAGCUGGUCUGAGAGGACGAUCAGCCACACUGGGACUGAGACACGGCCCAGACUCCUACGGGAGGCAGCAGUGGGGAAUCUUGCGCAAUGCGCGAAAGCGUGACGCAGCAACACCGCGUGAGGGAAGACGGCCUUAGGGUUGUAAACCUCUUUCAGAUGGGACGAAGGUGAUGCGGUGAAUAGCCGAUGUCAUUGACGGUACCGUCAGAAGAAGCUCCGGCUAACUACGUG